UACGUAGGGCGCAAGCGUUAUCCGGAAUUAUUGGGCGUAAAGAGCUCGUAGGCGGUCUGUCACGUCGGCUGUGAAAACCUGGGGCUCAACCCCGGGCCUGCAGCCGAUACGGGCAGACUAGAAUUCGGUAGGGGAGACUGGAAUUCCUGGUGUAGCGGUGAAAUGCGCAGAUAUCAGGAGGAACACCGGUGGCGAAGGCGGGUCUCUGGGCCGAUAUUGACGCUGAGGAGCGAAAGCGUGGGGAGCGAACAGG
rnacentral:rRNA from 1 species